rnacentral:rRNA from 1 species
CCUACGGGUGGCAGCAGUGGGGAAUAUUGCGCAAUGGGCGAAAGCCUGACGCAGCGACGCCGCGUGAGGGAUGAAGGUCUUCGGAUCGUAAACCUCUGUCAGCAGGGAAGAACGGUCACUGUGCUAAUCAGCAGUGAAUUGACGGUACCUGCAAAGGAAGCACCGGCUAACUCCGUGCCAGCAGCCGCGGUAAUACGGAGGGGGCGAGCGUUAAGCGGAAUUACUGGGCGUAAAGCGCUCGUAGGCGGUAUGUCAAGUCAAGGGUGAAAUCCCCGCGCUCAACGUGGGAACUGCCUUUGAAACUGGCAAACUGGAGUGUGUGAGAGGAUAGUGGAAUUCCAGGUGUAGGAGUGAAAUGCGUAGAUAUCUGGAGGAACAUCAGUGGCGAAGGCGACUAUCUGGCACAUAACUGACGCUGAGGAGCGAAAGCGUGGGUAGCAAACAGGAUUAGAUACCCUUGUAGUC